rnacentral:rRNA from 1 species
ACGCUCGACACCUACGGGAGGCAGCAGUAGGGAAUCUUCCACAAUGGGCGCAAGCCUGAUGGAGCAACACUGCGUGAGUGAAGAAGGGUUUCGGCUCGUAAAGCUCUGUUGUUGGAGAAGAACGUGCGUGAGAGUAACUGUUCACGCAGUGACGGUAUCCAACCAGAAAGUCACGGCUAACUACGUGCAAGCAGCCGCGGUAAUCUGAGCGGGCUGGCAAGGC